rnacentral:rRNA from 1 species
UACGUAGGGUGCGAGCGUUGUCCGGAAUUACUGGGCGUAAAGAGCUCGUAGGUGGUUUGUCGCGUUGUUCGUGAAAACUCACAGCUCAACUGUGGGCGUGCGGGCGAUACGGGCAGACUGGAGUACUGCAGGGGAGACUGGAAUUCCUGGUGUAGCGGUGGAAUGCGCAGAUAUCAGGAGGAACACCGGUGGCGAAGGCGGGUCUCUGGGCAGUAACUGACGCUGAGGAGCGAAAGCGUGGGUAGCAAACAGG